GAAAAAGGCAUACUGGUUGGGAAUGAUAUGAGCCUCCCUGAUAUAUUUGCUCAGUUCUACAUCAAAAAGUUUCGGACACCUGCAGGCCCGAGUCUCAAUCUGGGUGUCCAUUACUAAUCGAUUUAGAGGAGAAAGUGCAACGUGAAAUAAUAGCCCAUCCAUGAGGAAGAACAACAAGGGAAUUAUCCCAUCGCAAGGCUGAACAUUUCAUAACAGAUUCUAUUGGAACCUGCGCCCAGAGGAUGUCUCGCACUCGGCCCCCUCUACG